rnacentral:rRNA from 1 species
UAUUAUUUUAGAAUGUUAAUUUUUGUGCCUGAGUAGUAUUAGUUAUGUUCUUGAAACUUAAAGAAUUUGGCGGUAUCUCAUUCCGUCCAGAGGAAUCUGUCCCGUUAUCGAUAGUCCACGUUGGACCUUACUUAUUUGCUUUUGGUUUGUAUACCGCCGUUUAUUGAUUAUCUUUUUAGAGGUUGUUUAAUUUUCUAGUUUCUUUAUUUUGAUAUAUUUCAGGUCAAGGUGCAGCUUGUUUUUAAGUGGAAUGAUGGAUUACAUUGUUAUUUGUUUAUGGAUUGUUGAUUUUAAUAUUGGCAUGAAAUUGGAUUUGGUUGUAAUGAUUUGUAGAUUGUUAUUAUGAUAAUUGGUUCUGAGAUAUGCACACAUCGCCCGUCGCUCUCGUUUGUUAUAAU